rnacentral:rRNA from 1 species
CCUACGGGAGUCAGCAGUGAGGAAUAUUGGUCAAUGGGCGCGAGCCUGAACCAGCCAAGUCGCGUGAGGGAAGACGGCCCUACGGGUUGUAAACCUCUUUUGCCGGGGAGCAACGGGCGCCACGUGUGGCGCCACGGAGAGAACCCGGAGAAAAAGCAUAGGCUAACUCCGUGCCAGCAGGCGCGGUAAUACGGCGGAUGCGAGCGUUAUCCGGAUUUAUUGGGUUUAAAGGGUGCGUAGGCGGAGCGUGAAGUCAGUGGUCAACUGGAAGGCCGCACCCCCUUCCCGCCAUUGAAACUGGCGCUCUUGAGUGGAAGAGCAGUAUGCGGCCUGCGUGGUGUAGCGGUGACCUGCAUCGCUCUCACGC